UGAUCCUGGCUCAGGACGAACGCUGGCGGCGUGCCUAAUACAUGCAAGUCGAGCGGACCUUUUAAAAGCUUGCUUUUGAAAGGUCAGCGGCGGACGGGUGAGUAACACGUGGGCAACCUGCCUGUAAGACUGGGAUAACUUCGGGAAACCGGAGCUAAUACCGGAUAAUAUAAGGAACCUCCUGGUUCUUUAUUGAAAGAUGGUUUCGGCUAUCACUUACAGAUGGGCCCGCGGCGCAUUUUCUAGUUGGUGAGGCAACGGCUCACCAAGGCGACGAUGCGUAGCCGACCUGAGAGGGUGAUCGGCCACAUUGGGACUGAUACACGGCCCAGACUCCUACGGGAGGCAGCAGUAGGGAAUCUUCCACAAUGGACGAAAGUCUGAUGGAUCAACGCCGCGUGAGCGAUGAAGGCCUUCCGGUCGUAAGCUCUGUUGUUAGGGAAGAACAAGUGCCAGAGUAACUGCUCGCACCUUGACUGUACCUAACCGGAUAGCCACGGCUAACUACGUGCCAUCGUCCGCGGCAAUCCGUAGGUGGGCAAGCGUUGUCCGGAAUUUAUUGGGCGUAAAGCGCGCGCCAGGCGCGUCUCUUUUAGCCUGAUUGUGAAAGCCCCCCCCCCCCACCCGUGGAGGGUCCCUGGGAAACUGGCGGGACUUUGAACGCCAAACAAUGAACAUGCGUUAGAGAUUUGGAGGAACACCCAUUGACGAAGGUGGCCUUUUUGGUCUGUAACUGACAACUGAGGCGCGAAAGCGUGGGGAGCAAACAGGAUUAGAUACCCUGGUAGUCCACGCCGUAAACGAUGAGUGCUAAGUGUUAGAGGGUUUCCGCCCUUUAGUGCUGCAAGCUAAACGCAUUAAGCACUCCGCCUGGGGAGUACGGUCGCAAGACUGAAAACUCAAAGGAAUUGACGGGGGGCCCCGCACAAGCGGUGGAGCAUGUGGUUUAAUUCGAAAGCAACGCGAAGAAACCUUACCAGGUCUUUGACAUCCUCUGACAACCCUAGAGAUAGGGCUUUCCCCUUCGGGGGACAGAGUGACAGGUGGUGCAUGGUUGUCGUCAGCUCGUGUCGUGAGAUGUUGGGUUAAGUCCCGCAACGAGCGCAACCCUUGAUCUUAGUUGCCAGCAUUCAGUUGGGCACUCUAAGAUGACUGCCGGUGACAAACCGGAGGAAGGUGGGGAUGACGUCAAAUCAUCAUGCCCCUUAUGACCUGGGCUACACACGUGCUACAAUGGACGGUACAAAGGGCAGCGAGACCGCGAGGUUUAGCCAAUCCCAUAAAACCGUUCUCAGUUCGGAUUGCAGGCUGCAACUCGCCUGCAUGAAGCUGGAAUCGCUAGUAAUCGCGGAUCAGCAUGCCGCGGUGAAUACGUUCCCGGGCCUUGUACACACCGCCCGUCACACCACGAGAGUUUGUAACACCCGAAGUCGGUGAGGUAACCUUUUGGAGCCAGCCGCCUAAGGUGGGACAGAUGAUUGGGGUGAAGUCGUAACAAGGUAGCC
rnacentral:rRNA from 1 species